UUUUGACCUCGAAUCAGGUGGGACUACCCGCUGAACUUAAGCAUAUCAAUAAGCGGAGGAAAAGAAACUAACAAGGAUUCCCCUAGUAACGGCGAGUGAAGUGGGAUGAGCUCAAAUUUAAAAUCUGGUAGUCUUUGGCUGCCCGAGUUGUAAUCUAGAGAAGUGUUUUCUGUGCUGGACUGUGUUCAAGUUUCCUGGAUAUGGAACAUCAUAGAGGGUGAGAAUCC
rnacentral:rRNA from 1 species